GGGCGAGUGGCGGAAUUGGCAGACGCGCUGGACUUAGGAUCCAGUGGGGCAACUCGUGGAGGUUCAAGUCCUCUCUCGCCCACCA
rnacentral:tRNA from 1 species